rnacentral:rRNA from 1 species
GACGAACGCUGGCGGCGUGCUUAACACAUGCAAGUCGAACGGAAAGGCCCUGCUUUUGUGGGGUGCUCGAGUGGCGAACGGGUGAGUAACACGUGAGUAACCUGCCCUUGACUUUGGGAUAACUUCAGGAAACUGGGGCUAAUACCGGAUAGGAGCUCCUGCUGCAUGGUGGGGGUUGGAAAGUUUCGGCGGUUGGGGAUGGACUCGCGGCUUAUCAGCUUGUUGGUGGGGUAGUGGCUUACCAAGGCUUUGACGGGUAGCCGGCCUGAGAGGGUGACCGGCCACAUUGGGACUGAGGUACGGCCCAGACUCGUACGGGAGGCAGCAGUGGGGAAUAUUGCACAAUGGGCGGAAGCCUGAUGCAGCAACGCCGCGUGCGGGAUGACGGCCUUCGGGUUGUAAACCGCUUUCGCCUGUGACGAAGCGUGAGUGACGGUAAUGGGUAAAGAAGCACCGGCUAACUACGUG